rnacentral:rRNA from 1 species
GGGGAAUUUUGCGCAAUGGGCGAAAGCCUGACGCAGCGACGCCGCGUGUGCGAUGAAGGCCUUUGGGUCGUAAAGCACUGUCGACCGGGACGAAAUCUUCCGAGCUAACACCUCGGAGGUUUGACGGUACUGGUAAAGGAAGCACCGGCUAACUCUGUGCCAGCAGCCGCGGUAAUACAGAGGGUGCAAACGUUGCUCGGAAUUAUUGGGCGUAAAGCGCGUGUAGGCGGCCUGUUAAGUCAGUUGUGAAAGCCCAUGGCUCAACCAUGGAAGUGCGACCGAAACUGGCAGGCUGGAGUCCUGAAGAGGGUGGCGGAAUUCCCAGUGUAGAGGUGAAAUUCGUAGAUAUUGGGAGGAACACCGGUGGCGAAGGCGGCCACCUGGGCAGGUACUGACGCUGAGACGCGAAAGCGUGGGGAGCAAAC